rnacentral:rRNA from 1 species
UACGUAGGCAGCGAGCGUUGUUCGGAUUUACUGGGCGUAAAGGGCGCGUAGGCGGCCACCGCAAGUCGACUGUGAAAUCUCCGGGCUUAACCCGGAAAGGUCAGCCGAUACUGCGGGGCUAGAGUGCAGAAGGGGCAACUGGAAUUCUCGGUGUAGCGGUGAAAUGCGUAGAUAUCGAGAGGAACACCUGCGGCGAAGGCGGGUUGCUGGGCUGACACUGACGCUGAAGCGCGAAAGCUAGGGGAGCGAACGGG